rnacentral:rRNA from 1 species
CCUUAGAGUUUGAUCCUGGCUCAGGAUGAACGCUAGCUACAGGCUUAACACAUGCAAGUCGAGGGGAAACGAUAUUGGAAGCUUGCUUCCGAUAGGCGUCGACCGGCGCACGGGUGAGUAACGCGUAUCCAACCUGCCCAUCACUUGGGAAUAACCUUGCGAAAGUAAGACUAAUGCCCAAUGACAUUUAUAGAAGGCAUCGGAAAUGAAUUAAAGAUUUAUCGGUGAUGGAUGGGGAUGCGUCUGAUUAGCUUGUUGGCGGGGUAACGGCCCACCUAGUCUUCGAUGGAUAGGGGUUCUGAGAGGAAGGUCCCCCACAUUGGAACUGAGACACGGUCCAAACUCCUACGGGAGGCAGCAGUGAGGAAUAUUGGUCAAUGGGCGAGAGCCUGAACCAGCCAAGUAGCGUGAAGGAUGACUGCCCUAUGGGUUGUAAACUUCUUUUAUAAAGGAAUAAAGUCGGGUAUGCAUACCCGUUUGCAUGUACUUUAUGAAUAAGGAUCGGCUAACUCCGUGCCAGCAGCCGCGGUAAUACGGAGGAUCCGAGCGUUAUCCGGAUUUAUUGGGUUUAAAGGGAGCGUAGAUGGAUGUUUAAGUCAGUUGUGAAAGUUUGCGGCUCAACCGUAAAAUUGCAGUUGAUACUGGAUAUCUUGAGUGCAGUUGAGGCAGGCGGAAUUCGUGGUGUAGCGGUGAAAUGCUUAGAUAUCACGAAGAACUCCGAUUGCGAAGGCAGCCUGCUAAGCUGCAACUGACAUUGAGGCUCGAAAGUGUGGGUAUCAAACAGGAUUAGAUACCCUGGUAGUCCACACGGUAAACGAUGAAUACUCGCUGUUUGCGAUAUACAGCAAGCGGCCAAGCGAAAGCGUUAAGUAUUCCACCUGGGGAGUACGCCGGCAACGGUGAAACUCAAAGGAAUUGACGGGGGCCCGCACAAGCGGAGGAACAUGUGGUUUAAUUCGAUGAUACGCGAGGAACCUUACCCGGGCUUAAAUUGCAGAUGAAUUACGGUGAAAGCCGUAAGCCGCAAGGCAUCUGUGAAGGUGCUGCAUGGUUGUCGUCAGCUCGUGCCGUGAGGUGUCGGCUUAAGUGCCAUAACGAGCGCAACCCUUGUUGUCAGUUACUAACAGGUUCUGCUGAGGACUCUGACAAGACUGCCAUCGUAAGAUGUGAGGAAGGUGGGGAUGACGUCAAAUCAGCACGGCCCUUACGUCCGGGGCUACACACGUGUUACAAUGGGGGGUACAGAGGGCCGCUACCACGCGAGUGGAUGCCAAUCCCCAAAACCUCUCUCAGUUCGGACUGUAGUCUGCAACCCGACUACACGAAGCUGGAAUCGCUAGUAAUCGCGAAUCAGCAUGUCGCGGUGAAUACGUUCCCGGGUCUUGUACACACCGCCCGUCAAG